ensembl:miRNA
CCAGGGUCUCACUCUGUAGACCAGGCUGGCCUUGAAGUCACAGAGCUCUGCCUGCCUCUGCCUCCCGAGUGCUGGGGU